rnacentral:rRNA from 1 species
AACGAACGCUGGCGGCAGGCUUAACACAUGCAAGUCGAGCGCGUAGCAAUACGAGCGGCAGACGGGUGAGUAACGCGUGGGAAUCUACCCAUCUCUACGGAACAACUCCGGGAAACUGGAGCUAAUACCGUAUACGUCCGAGAGGAGAAAGAUUUAUCGGAGAUGGAUGAGCCCGCGUUGGAUUAGCUAGUUGGUGGGGUAAUGGCCUACCAAGGCGACGAUCCAUAGCUGGUCUGAGAGGAUGAUCAGCCACACUGGGACUGAGACACGGCCCAGACUCCUACGGGAGGCAGCAGUGGGGAAUAUUGGACAAUGGGCGCAAGCCUGAUCCAGCCAUGCCGCGUGAGUGAUGAAGGCCUUAGGGUUGUAAAGCUCUUUCAACGGUGAAGAUAAUGACGGUAACCGUAGAAGAAGCCCCGGCUAACUUCGUGCCAGCAGCCGCCGUAACAC